rnacentral:lncRNA from 10 species
GAAAGGGCAGGGCAUGGCGAGGGGAGUGGAAUAAUGAAGUUUGUUCUGGCUGACGCACAGGAUUCAUGAAAUAGAGGGAGCUGGAGCAGAAGCAGGCUGGGAAUAAUACACACAGGGCCACACUAAUGGUCCAGAAGCUGAUUGCGUAGUGAGCCUGAAUGCAAUUGUGGAAGAUUGGGGUUGAAGAUUUUCCAGAUCGAGUUUGUGCAUGGUGCCUGAUGGAACAGAGGGACCAUAGCCAGCCUCUUCAAUUGUUCAGAUGCCAGGAUGUGUGAUAUCAAGGGGCUUUUUGACAUGUCUGGGAAACAGCAGGAUCUAGUGGUUGAGCUGAGAUGUGGCCCAUCCUCCCAAUGCCCAGUCUCCCCUGCUGAGCAGCUCUGAAAGGAGAUGCAACUUGCCUCAGGUGCUCCCCACUGAGAACACCAGGCCCAGACUUUGUUGGCUGGGGUGCUGGGCUGGGCUGUGUCUGUCCCUGCAUCUCAGGCUCCUCUCAGCACCCACCCCCAUUAGCAGCUUUGGAAAUGUGGAACACGUGGUAAUCCUUAACUCCACUGUUUUGAAAUGUCCCUGCAAUGGCUAUAAUAAUCAUCUUACAAACAACCUAGAACAAGUUCUAAUUGCUUUUAAUGUUGUAUUACAGCUGGGAGAUGGGGAGAGCAAAGACAUGCUGUCACAGGCCUGCUCUGAUUAUAUGGUACCUCUGGGAGCAUUUUCACGGAGGAAAAGGCAACAAGCUUAUAGGAUUUUUUUCUUCUUUUCAGGGAACCUGGCUUAGUGGUGGCCUCCCCACACCCAAGCAGUAAAAGGGAGAGCCUCCUGAGCCAGCAGAGAAACUUAAGCCUCCCAGUAUUCUGGAAGCAAUAAAGAAUAAUCUGAUAUACAAACAAAGGUGCCGUGAGGUAUUCUCACUUCUCUUAACUACUGCUGGUGAUGAUGUUUGUGAGCCAGCUCUUUUUACCACUGAAAAAGUUCUUAACUGUUAAUGACUCCCAGGUGAAGGCACCAACCCAAGACUGAGAUGUUCUGAAUAAAUGAGGGAAUAAAUGAAUGAGUAAGUGGAUCACUGACUGAGCCAACUCCUAUUGAGAGCCUAAAAUGCAUAAAGGUUUCACAAAUGACUACAACUGUCCCUUCCUACAACUCCAUAAGGCAGGUUCUAAAAUCACCCCCGUUCUAUGGAUGAGGAACUGGUGCUCAGAGAAGUUAAGUGGACCUUGCCAAGGACAAUAGGAAAACAUCAUGAGUAAGAGACUCAGGACUCACGCAUCAAGACCCACAUUGUUUCUGUUAUGCUGUCUUACCUUCUUGAAAGCUCUGACUUGAGAAGAUUGGUUCAGAUUUUGUGCAACUGGUCAUCCCUGGUGCAACCCAGAGACUGGCACUCAAUUUCACUUCAUGAGUCUCUUCUGUCCCCCUCAGAUCAUAGCACCGCUGUUUACACUUCAGCGCCAGCACCUCCUGCCUCCUCUUUGGGACACCUUUUCUUACCUUUGAUGCUAUGACAAGGGGGCUUUCCUCCCUGCCUCUAGCAGACUGUUUUGCUUUUCCCAUUCUUUUCAUAACUUUCCAAAGACACAAAAUCACAGCUGUAAAAAUGGCAUGUUAUAGCUAUUGGUUGCUCACGUCUUUCAAAGGGCUUUCCCAAUUAUUUUUUCAUUUCAUCUUCACAACAGCCCUCUGUGGACCAGGAAGGCAGCUGUCAUUACCCACCAUUGCACGGUCAGGGAAACUGAGACCUCAAAAAGGGGAAUCUCCCACGGGAGUCAUAGGUAAGGUUGGUGACAGAGGCAAGACCUGCACUCAACUGCUUGACUACCAGGGCCAAUGCUCUUUCACAAAGACACCACGACCAACAUGGAUAGAAUGUGCCUCUAACUGCAGCUCCAGUUUAUAGGGCUAUUUGAGCAAAGGGGAUGGAGUGAGGCCUCAUUUGGAGAAGUGGAGAUGAGGAUGGGAGGAUCUGGCAGAGCAGCGUGGCAGGUGUUGGUUAGAUUCUCUGCACCUAUGUAUUCCUUCCAUAGACAAUUUUGUAUCCCAGAAAAAAUGAAAUAAAAUUAUAAUCCUAAAG